GACGAACGCUGGCGGCGUGCUUAACACAUGCAAGUCGAACGGAAAGGCCCCUUUGGGGGUACUCGAGUGGCGAACGGGUGAGUAACACGUGAGUAACCUGCCCUUGCCUUCGGGAUAACUUCAGGAAACUGGGGCUAAUACCGGAUAGGAAUCCUUGCUGCAUGGUGGGGGUUGGAAAGCUUCGGCGGGUUUGGAUGGACUCGCGGCUUAUCAGCUUGCUGGUGGGGUAGUGGCUUACCAAGGCUUUGACGGGUAGCCGGCCUGCGAGGGCGACCGGCCACAUUGGGGCUGAGAUGCGGCCCAGGCUCCUACGGGGGGCAACAGUGGGGAAUAUUGCACAAUGGGCGGAAGCCUGAUGCAGCAACGCCGCGGGCGGGAUGACGGCCUUCGGGUUGUAAACCGCUUUCAGCAGGGGCGGAGCUUGUGGUGACGGUACCUGCAGAAGAAGCACCGGCUAACUACGUG
rnacentral:rRNA from 1 species